rnacentral:rRNA from 1 species
UACGGGGGGGUAAGCGUUGUUCGGAAUUAUUGGGCGUAAAGAGCGUGUAGGCGGUCCGGUAAGUCAGCUGUGAAAGUCAAGGGCUCAACCCUUGAAUGCCGGUUGAUACUGUCGGGCUAGAGUCCGGAAGAGGCGAGUGGAAUUCCCGGUGUAGCGGUGAAAUGCGCAGGAUAUCGGGAGGAACACCAAUGGCGAAGGCAGCUCGCUGGGACGGUACUGACGCUGAGACGCGAAAGCGUGGGGAGCAAACAGG